rnacentral:rRNA from 1 species
GCCCGAAAUCGGAUUGACUACGCCAUGCGAGUCAUUGUAGUAAUACAAGGCAGACGGCUCAGUAACGCGUAGUCAAUCUAACCUAUGGACGGGAAUAACCUCGGGAAACUGAGUAUAAUGCCCGAUAGAACAUUAUGCCUGGAAUGGUUUAUGUUCCAAAUGAUUUAUCGCCGUAGGAUGGGACUGCGGCCUAUCAGUUUGUUGGUGAGGUAAUGGCCCACCAAGACUAUUACAGGUACGGGCUCUGAGAGGAGUAGCCCGGAGAUGGGUACUGAGACACGGACCCAGGCCCUAUGGGGCGCAGCAGGCGAGAAAACUUUGCAAUGUGCGAAAGCACGACAAGGUUAAUCCGAGUGGUUUCUGCUAAAGGAACCUUUUGUCGGUCCUAGAAACACCGAUGAAUAAGGGGUGGGCAAGUUCUGGUGUCAGCCGCCGCGGUAAAACCAGCACCUCAAGUGGUCAGGAUGAUUAUUGGGCCUAAAGCAUCCGUAGCCGGCUCUGUAAGUUUUCGGUUAAAUCUGUACGCUCAACGUACAGGCUGCCGGGAAUACUGCAGAGCUAGGGAGUGGGAGAGGUAGACGGUACUCGGUAGGAAGGGGUAAAAUCCUUUGAUCUAUUGAUGACCACCUGUGGCGAAGGCGGUCUACCAGAACACGUCCGACGGUGAGGGAUGAAAGCUGGGGGAGCAAACCGGAUUAGAUACCCGGGUAGUCCCAGCUGUAAACUAUGCAAACUCAGUGAUGCAUUGGCUUGUGGCCAAUGCAGUGCUGCAGGGAAGCCGUUAAGUUUGCCGCCUGGGAAGUACGUACGCAAGUAUGAAACUCAAAUGAAUUGAC